rnacentral:lncRNA from 1 species
CGGCUCACUGCAACCUCCACCUCCCAGCUUCAAGUGAUUCUCCUGCCUCAGCCUUCCAAGUAGCUGGCAUUACAGGCAUGGGCCACCACGCCUGGCUAAUUUUUGUAUUUUUGGUAGAGAUGGGGGUUUCUCCAUGUUGGCCAGGCUGGUCUCGAACUCCUGACCUCAGGUGAUCCACCCGCCUCAGCCUCCCAAAGUGCUGGGAUUACAGGCAUGAGCCACUGCGCCUGGUUGCCUGCCCCUCUUUUCUGUACUCCACGUGCUGUCCUGGUCCACCUCACUCCUCCAUGGGCUUCUUGAGACACCUGCUGACCUCUAGCCGGACCUGAGCUUCAGACCCUCUCUCCAGCAGGAAGGGCUGCAGACUCGGCCUGUUCCCAGACUCGGCCUUCACCUCCCUUCUCCUCCUGUGUUUAAGUGGAUGGCCCCUCUAUCCAUCCAGGUCCCAUGCCAAGAACCAGUGAUUCUAGUGGCCCACCACCUCCCUCUCCUGCCACCCUUAUACCUGUUCAGCCUCCUAAAGAGGGACAAACUCUGUCUCUGCGUGCACUGGCUUGCCUGCCCUGCCUUUGUCACUCCAAGGGAGAUCUUGAGACCCAUGCCCUGAAUUGGUGCUGGAAUGGUCUUUGGGAGUCAAACUCUGAUCAUGCCCUCCAGUGGCUCCUCUCACACUAAAAUCAAAACUCUUUAAAACAAGCUGAGUGCAGUGGCUUACACCUGUAAUCCCAGCACUUUGGGAGACUGAGGCGGGAGGAUCACCUGAGGUCAGGAGUUUGAGACCAACCUGACCAACAUGGUAAAACCCUGUCUCUACUAAAAAUACAAAAAAUUAGGCCAGGCGCAGUGGUUCAUGCCUGUAAUCCCAGCACUUUGGGAGGCCGAGGCGGGUGGAUCGCCUGAGGUCAGGAGUUCAAGACCAGCCUGGCUGACAUUGUGAAACCCUUUCUCUACUAAAAAUACAAAAAGUAGGCCAGGCGCGAUAGCUCACGCCUAUAAUCCCAGCACUUUCGGAGG